AUUGAACGCUGGCGGCAGGCUUUACACAUGCAAGUCGAGCGAGCGGCGGACGGGUGAGUAAUGUCUGGGAAACUGCCUGAUGGCGGGGGAUAACUACUGGAAACGGUAGCUAAUACCGCAUACCAUCAGAUGUGCCCAUAUGGGAUUAGCUAGUUGGUGGGGUAAUGGCUCACCUAGGCGACGAUCCCUAGCUGGUCUGAGAGGACGACCAGCCACACUGGAACUGAGACACGGGCCAGACUCCUACGGGAGGCAGCAGUGGGGAAUAUUGGACAAUGGGCGAAAGCCUGAUGCAGCCAUGCCGCGUGUGUGAAGAAGGCCUUCGGGUUGUAAAGCACUUUCGGCGGGGAGGCGGUACUCGCAGAAGAAGCACCGGCUAACUCCGUGCCAGCAGCCGCGGUAAUUC
rnacentral:rRNA from 1 species